ACCCCUGGAAUAGCUCAGUUGGUAGAGCAUGAGACUUUUGAUCUCAGCAUUGUCGGUUCAAACCCCAUGUUGGGCA